GCUUCUUAACCAGGGGAGUUGACCACUCCCUGUAAUUCAUUUGCUCCAUGUUUUGAAAACAGGGAGGCACACUCUUGCAAAAUGGUCCCUUCUCUCCCUCCUCCAUUUCGAUGCUAUAUCCAGGAGUGAAAACUCUCCAGCCUUGUCUUGGUUUCUAUGGGGCUCUUAAGCCCGAUGCAGGAGAUUGGUUGAAAAAACUUAUAUCAGAAGAUAUUCCGACGGUAUUCCAAGAAUAGGCUCCAACGCUUCAAAUUGGAAGGUUAAUUCUGAAGCGCCUAACCACCUCGGAACCCCGUUCGAAUGAAUUACGAUUAACAGAUUAUUACGAUUAACAAUGAUUCUGAUUAAUUCGUCCAUGCCUAGUAGCUACUAUUAGCCCCCAAACUAUGUAUGUUAUAGAGGAUUGGUUUUCAAAAUACUGUAUAGAGGAUUUAAAGGAUUUUUUAAAUUGCCAAAAGUUGCAAAGACUUUUGUUUCAGCUACCACCAACAACACCAACACUUCUCCUGGGGUUUAACACCAAUAGAGUCACAAUAUAUUUCUCAGAUGUUUCUUUCCUGAAGGUUUUAACUAUAUUCCUCAAAGAGGCUUCCUUAAAAAAAAAAAAACAAUUCUCAUCUGUCUAUUUUCAAAUUUCAAACUCCAACUCCCAACUGAAAAAGAAUUAUUUGGCUGCCUAGCUCCAACUGUCACUUUGGCUCCGCCCAUCUCCAGUUGCUAAGCAACCUAUUCAUUUGCAUCAGCCAAUCAGACUUUUCCUAUUCUCUGUUAGUCUAACUCCUUCCUAUAGCCUUCUGUCCAUUCUCCACAAACACUCUAUUCUUUUCAGCAACAAAGCAUCUUGGUCAGUUAGAUACAUAUAAAUUAAGGUAUACUCUCUUUUUCUCUUAUAUUACAUAUUCUAAUCCUUAGUUUAGAAAAGGUGAGUAGUGCUGCGGUUUCUCAUUCACUGGGUUACAAUAAGUCAAAGCUAACUUGACAGCAAUUAACAACAACCACCAUCCCAGAACAGGAUGUUGUAAUGACCUCUAGCUUAGAACUUUGUAUAGGAUGUUACAUAAAACAUACUUUUGUAAAAGCUUGAAGCAGUCUAUUAUACCACCAUUUGAUACUGUCUGAUAUUUGGCUGAUUGGAUUCUUUGUUCCUGAAAAGAAUAGGGUGUUUGUGGAGAAGGAACAGAAGAACACUGAGUUCUCUUACACAAAAAGGAGUCACUCACUUCCGUGUGCAGAAAAAAAGUGCUGACUUUAAAAAGAUAAUGUCGACAGCUCUACUCUCUGGCUCACGCGAGUACAGGGUUGUAAUCUUUUGCACGGUACCCAUCUUUUGUCAUUGUGCAGAUAUUCUGCCCAAGUUUAAUUAAAAAUAUGUUCAAGCUGAUCAACUCUUGAGUCUUUCAAUGAGACAGGACCUUUUUGGAAGUAGUAUCCCAGUUAUGGGGCAGACUCUUUAUAGCACCAAUGAAUAUCUAUUUACACAGGCAUUAUCCAGUAACUUAUUAAUACACCCAACUCUACAAAUCUGACAGGGACGGUCUAUAUUGAUUCUCUGUCAUCUCAUUUUUCUAUUGCUUUUAAAAUGUCCCAGUUUCUACCUCUUUUUCCUUUGUUCUUAGUUUAUUUUAAUUGCUGCAAACUGAGUGUCAAGGGCAUUGAAUGGUUGGCAACACUGUGAACCGCCCUGAGUCCCCUUCGGAGUUGAGAAGGGCGGUGUAUAAAUAACACAAAUGAAUAAAUAAAUAAAUAAAUUGCACUCAGUGAACUCAGCAGGGGAGAAAAGAGAAGAGGAAUAUUGCUUUUCACAGUAAG
ensembl:lncRNA